UUGGGCCUACGGGAGGCAGCAGUGGGGAAUAUUGCACAAUGGGGGAAACCCUGAUGCAGCGACGCCGCGUGAGUGAAGGAGUAUUUCGGUAUGUAAAGCCCUAUCGGCAGGGAAGAAGCAAGACGGUACCUGACUAAGAAGCCCCGGCUAACCACGUGCCAGCAGCCGCGGUAAUACGUAGGGGGCGAGCGUUAUCCGGAUUCACUGGGUGUAAAGGGAGCGUAGACGGCCAUGCAAGCCAGGGGUGAAAGCCCGGGGCCCAACCCCGGGACUGCCCUUGGAACUGCAUGGCUGGGGUGCCGGCG
rnacentral:rRNA from 1 species